AAUCAGAUCCAACAAGUGGCACAGCCCUUUUCACCUGAGACAGAAGCAAGAUAGAGAUGAUCACAAACUGAGAAGGACCCGGGACGAUUCUCCGCCCUGCCGGGUCGGGGCAGAAGAAACAGGUACCGCAGAUCACGAUCGCCAGGGACGAGCAGCCCCGGCCAUCGGGUUACGACAUACAGCCAGAUCACCUCCCUUACUUCAUGUUACAUAUCUUGAUAUAGGAUCAUGAAGGCAGUGCCACCUGCCUAGUGGACCAAAUUUCUUUUAUUUCCAUUCAUGUGACAAUGACAUCUAGCGCACAGCUUAGGUUGUCUGAAAAAAAGUUAUUCGGCCGACAUCACCUCUGACCCAAAAGAGCAACUGAUGCUCAUGAGCAGAGAUAUCAGGAUCUGUGGCUGCACCUGGGAACUUCGAAAUUGAAUGAGACCCAAGCACAUCACAAUUGCCAAGCAAAAAAAACAGCAACCAACCAACCAGUAAAAUAAAUGUGAUGUAAAAGACA